GCAGUGGUUUUUCAGUGAUAGAAUUCUUGCCUUCCAUGCGGGAGACUCAGGUUCGAUUCCUGGCCAAUGCA
rnacentral:tRNA from 1 species